rnacentral:lncRNA from 1 species
UUUUUGCAUUAUUUUUUAAAUUUUUUCUUUUUUCUUUUAAAGAAUUUUGAUUAUCAGCUACUUUUUAAAAGAAUACUUUUAAAACAAAACAAAUAUUAUUUAUAAUUUUUAUUUGGAAGAUAUAUUUUAUGGCAAUAGAUUAUACAAUAUUGUGAUAAAAAUGAGGAAAGGGGAAUAACUCUUGCUGAUUUAUGGUUGAUAGUGCUAUGAAAAAUGAAGUGCUGAUAUAUGAUUGAUAGUGCUAUGAAUAAUUAAGUGCUAUAUAGAGUGCUUUGUGGAAUGAAGUGCUCGAUUAUUAGUGCUAUAUGGAUUAUUUAGUGCAUAAACGUUUUAUGUGAAUAUUGUUGAAUGAAUUUUUAAUGUGUUAGUUUUUAUAUUGUUAGAGAUACAUAUGUUUGUUGCUCUGAGUAUCAGGGAUAAUAGAAUUAUGCCUUUUGUAAAUAGAAAUAUUUGUUUAUAGGGUUUUAAAUAUCAAUUUGUGACAUAUAUAUUUGCUCAUUUCAUUUUAUUUUCUCAUUAGAUAUCAAUAAAAAUCAUGUAUUUAAUAUAAUUUAAUUUUGCAAUGAAAGCAUUUGAGAUGAAGUGAGAAAUGAGUUUUUGUAAGAAAUAAUGAUAUUUGUUGAAAUGGUUAGGCAGCAUGCACCUGUAAGGUUUUAAGCCAUAAGCAAUUGGUUGAUAACACAAAACAGUGUUUUCUGAUAUAAUAGUUUGUAUACAAAUGUGGAUAAACUGUACUUUUCAUAUUGUGAACUUAAACUAUUUCCUGUAAAUCACACAAUCCACAUUAAACAUACUGUAAAAUAAGCCACACCUGUUUUUAAAUCCAUACAGGAUAUGCUCCUUAUUAGUAGGAGGAAGUUACAGAAAAGAAGAAGUCUCAGUGUUUGUUUCACAAUAUAUUAAUGCCCUCAAGACACCUCUCUUUUAAAGAAGUGAAACAUGUCUACUUGAAAAAAAACUAAAAAGCUCGGGUCAUUGAUAGGAGUAUGAUGAAUUAAGAUGUGGAUAAAUGAUGAAUUUAUGUUAGGAGCUACUAUGUGUGGCAGUUAAUAAAAACAAAAUCAAAUUUAUAUAGGCCAUUUUAUAUAGGAUCUGUUGUUUGUGAACUUUGCUUUUGUUUUAAUUCUCCUGAAUGAUUGAUCAAUUUUCAGUAACAAAUAUAAAUUUGUGUAAAAAUUUACCAAUAAGGUCCUCCAAAGGUGUUUAUGUAUUAUGUAUACAAUGUAUAAGCGUUAAUUCUUGACAAAGAAACCCAGAGCCUAUGUAACUGGUGAAAACUAAAAAUUACUCUAAUGUCAGAAAAUGUCUAAAUAAAUCUAUUCCACACUUGUUUAUUCCUUUUGGUUAUAAAUAUGGCCUUAAAAUUUUAGGCUUUUUAACCUUCCUGAUGAAGGUAAUCAAGAAAAACACUGCAAAAGCAUGAACUGACUAAGUGUUUUUAUCCUUUUUUGUCAGAAUUAAUGCUUGACAGCUAUUAAAACUCUACUAUUUUGCUUGCUUAAAGCCUCUGAAGAAAUAUAGAAGCAAAUUGCAAAAAAUAAAAUAAUGUUUUAUAAUCGCUUUUAAGCUAUCUUUGGAUUAAUCUAUAGUUAUAUAAGAAAGAUUUGUAUUGGUUAAUUGAAUUUUUUUCAUCACACUUGCCUCACAGAGGAUAUCAUAUCAUCAAGUGUAAAAACAAAAAUAUUUUAGUGCAUUUAAUGUAUUGUAAGUAUAUUUUUUGUUGAUUUUUUAAGAACUUUUCAGCUUCAUCUGUACAAACAAUUCACACUUAAUUGCUGAGAUCGAAGUCUGUAGGAAGACAUUAGCAAUUCUGUUUUUCAUGACUAAACAUGUUUUUAUUGGCAGACUCACAAUUCAACAUUUUAUAAACUCUAGAUAUCCAUACUCUGUAUUUUCAUUAAGAAAAAUAUCAAUACCCAAAGUAUGACCAACAAGACAUAUGAACCAAAAAAUAUAUAUUCCGUAAAAUAGUGGACAGCGAAUUAAAUUUUAUAUGGCAUGAUAAUUCUACCUCUCUUUGAUAUCAGCUGACAAAGAAUCCAUAUUGUAUCAAUAUUGUUAACUAUCAUUUGUUAGUAAUGUCAACAACAGAAUAUAGAUUUGUAUGAAAAUUAUGAGAAUUUUUACUGUUUGUGUGUGUUUUUUGUGUAUGUGUGUUGAUUGGCAGUCAAGGAGAAAACUUAUCAUAGUAUUGCAGCAAUUUGCUCUUUCAUAAUCUAAUGCAUUCUGGGUAAGCUUUCACUAAAGGUGUCAUACCACCAAUUAAAAGUCCCUAUCUGUUCAACCAAAUUUUACAACUUUCACAGCUUUCUAAAUAUUUUACCUUAAGAUUAACUUCAUAGAAACCAGGUAUAUCCUGAAUCGUACAUGUAUCAGCUUUCUUCAUGUCAAUUUUCAACUGAUGUUUAAAAUCAUAUAAAAAAGAAAAGGUCUUUCGAAUUGGUACACAAAAAUAACCCCUGGUUUUCUGGAAAUCUUAAAUUAGUAUACUAUGGAGUGCAUUAAUCAUCAAUUUUGAAUGCAAACUCAUAAACAAAUAAAUUUUUUCUCAAAAUGGUCUUAGUAUAUUUCUCCUUCACCAAAAGUUUCAUUUCUGCCAAUUUGUUGGUUAGUUUAAGUAAACAAUGACAUCAAAUGCACUAUUUUUUGUCCGAGUAGGCCUAAUUUCACAUACGUUAUAAAUUUGAGGGAGUAAUUGGUGGUGUGACACCUAAAACGCUGUGAUUGGCUAACAAAGCCUUAAACAAUCAAAAUUCAACCAAUGAUGUGAAUUUUUCAUUUUGGGGUUUGAAAAAGAUAUUACCCAUAAUCCUUUAGAUUCUAAAAUAACGAAAUUAAACUUUUACAGGAUUUCCAUGUUGGCUGGAAUGACUCAUAUACUUUCAAUGCAGUAUUGUAAUUGUCUGUUUAAAAAAGUUCGUGGAGAUAUCACCAUUAAAAAGUAUAUUUAUAUAGUUGUUUCAUUAUCAUUGAUGAAAAGAAAAGACAUUGAUUCUCAUUGGCUGUUAUGGUUGGUUAAGUGUUUGUGAG